UUUCUUUUCAUACAUUAUUAUCUAAACCCUGUUAUCAGUUUAACCCUUUUUAAAUAUACAAUUUAUUAUUAUUAUUAUCAUAAUUCUCCUUUUUUUUUUCAUUUUGUUAAUUAUACUUUCUUCGUCUCAUUCAAACAGAGUUUUAUUUUACUAUGCAAAAUUAAUUGAAUUGAAAGCCCAGUAAACUAAAGAAGAAAUUAAGAGCUAAACCACCCACAACCAAACAAAACCCAACUAAACAAAGCCAUCGAAAACCAUCUGGCACUACCACCAUCUCCAUCAUGAAUAUAGACCCAAUCAAAGAAAAGAAAAGAUCAGUGCAUGCUCAAAAGAGAAUCGGCAACAUAGAACACUGACAAGCAACUAAAUGGAAAAUGAAGACUCAGAAACAGAUUCCACACAGGACCCUUGCCGACCACCACCACCAGUCACACCCAAACCAAACCAACCUGAAGCUUAAGGCAGAUUUGAGUCGCCAAUAUCCCAAACACCACACGGAGAGAAGCGACGCAACAGAGCAAAAGGGAGUGUGAAUCACCGGGGGUAUCGGCGCGGUCUGGGAUUAUCGUCGCCAAUAGUCAAGCUUUCUCCCAAAGUGCAAAGACAAAGACCAGACCAACGAAGAAGAGGAUGAAACUGCUCCAUGCUAAUCAGCAGCAAAAGACACUCAUGCAACGAGAUCCGGAACCUAACCUCGUCCACCCAAAAUCGGAUCUGUAGAACCAAAUAAAACUAUCCACUACGGACUGAAAAAGAGGCGCGUUCUUGCCCUCUAUCUGUUCACGCUUUUCAAAAUAGAGAAAAACUUACUAUUUUCUUCUUUCUUGCUUAUUUGAUUCAGUGGGAUCCAAACAGAGAAUUUAAUGAGCC
rnacentral:lncRNA from 1 species